CCCCAAAAAAAAAAUUAUUCCAGGUAUGUUCCUCAAUAAAAAAAUCCAUUGUGGCUCAUUAAUCGCAUAGCAACCUCCAUCCCAUUCCUUCUUAGGAACUUCCGAUUUACCUACGCGAAGCUAAAUCAACUAAAUCGGAGCUCCGUUGUGGGAGACAAUAGAACAGCGUACAUCGGAGCACCAUUUUUCAUGGGGACGCCUUUGUAGUAAGAACAAUCGAAAAAAGGAAACAUGGUUGAAACAACACGCGGAUCUAGCCGCGGGAAACAGAAGAUCGACCAGACUCCAGGCAUGGUAUAUCUGAGUUCACGUAAAACAUGGGACCCUUAACCUGUGACUUUCAUUAUUUGAUAUGUUGGUGGUCGUAACGGUGUUUGACGGGCUGUAGAAAAUGAAGAGGGGCAGACUAGAAAGAGGCGUAACGAAAUAGAUUCUAGUGGUCUAUUUGAAUCCUUAAACGAUACCCAUAGUCGAAAGCGAGUUAUAGCCACACAAACUUCGACGAAUAAGCAUAGAGAGAUUUUGAACAUUUCUGAUGGGUCUACGGGGCACGAAAAGAAACGAAAGGUGGUGAAACGAAAGGAAAUACCCAGCCUAAAGACGCGUUCCUCGCCGAAACAACUAUACAACUCGAUAUCAUACAUGUCGCAAAGGUAGGAGGAAGCUGUGAAGGAAAUGGGUUUCGUGGGCUGUUAGGAUUUGUCAUCGACGGAAUUCCAGAAAAACUAGCCUUUCAUGUUGUCGAACAACUUGAUGCUGAAAAUUUGACAUUGAAUCUUGGAAAAGCCCAACUGGUAGUGACGUCAACUUUGAUCAGCAAACUGUUGGGGAUCCGUGAAGGAGGUAAGAACUUUGGCGCGAUUCUACCAUCCAAGACGUUGUACCCCCCCCCCCCCCACCAGCUUUUACAUAUCCCCCACUUUGUUAUCCACGAAAAUCCAACAAGACACUUACAAUGAUAUGAUGUUUUUCCGCAUUGAUUUCGUGUUGCUCUUCCUUACCACAAUAGCUACAUCACAGAUGAAUAGGUUUGUGAAUGACAAAAUUUUAAAGCGUUUAACGAUUGAUACACGGUUCGAGGAGUACGACUGGUGUGCUUACAUCGUGGAUUGUUGACGUAAAUGCAAGAAGUAGUGGAAACCAAAAGACUCAAACAGUUGUUGGGUUGGCCUGCUGACUAUCUUGACGGUACGUUAUAAAAUUUGUUUGUGAUUUGGGAAAAGGAUCCCCGUCCCGUGGUUAAAAACAUACUUCUGGGUGUAGUUGUUGUAUGUCGACAGCACAGAGCUGGCCGAGUUAAGCACGAGGGCUUGCGUUCAGGCCAUUCAGUUCUAGACUAGAGACAUGUUGACACGUCGACAAGAUUACGAGAUCAAUAAUGGUGGGUUUGGGCAAGGCAACUUGAAAGCGAUAAGUGUUGGUGCAGAUGAAGCAGGCGGUGAUUUAGAUGAUGAGACAUUUGCGAACACGCAGGAGUUUGUUGCAUGUGUUGAGAAGUGGCUUGAUGGGUUCGCGGCAGUUCGGGUUAAGAUAGAAACGCACUUAGGUGCGCAUUUGGCGGAGGACCCAAACAACAAGAGCCUCCAGGAUCUAAAUCGUAGGUACAUUAAUGUGCUGGAUGAGGUUCCAAUUUGGCCUACUGAUAGAUUUGACAACUUUGAAGAGGGAGAAAGCGGGCAUCAAUGAACGCCCACCGCACACCGGACGUAAGCACAGAGGCAACUACUUCUAAGAGCAUAGCACAGAUACUAAAUGAGUUGAAUGAAUAUUCUGUUGAGAAGACAUACACGCACAAAAAGAAGAAAUUGUGCAGACGACUAAGUGGUGGCCCGUUUUUUUUAAAUCCUACUUAUUAUCCUCAGCCCUCGUAGAUCCUUAACCUGAAGUUUUAUUGUUAACCUUAAAUCGUGCCCAGGCAUGAAGGGGGAUGAGAGUAUGAAAAGUCUGGAAGCAGCUACAGGGCAUAGUGACGAUGGAGACGCGGGUGAUUUAGGUGCAUGUACACCUAUUGCUCCACGUGUGGAAUCCAAUUCUGAUGUCCCUUUGAGCCAGGCCACGGAUAACAUCUGUACACCGAACGUGCAGGUGAAUAUGGGCAAUUUUAAUGAACUAGUGGGGAUUGAGGUGCAGGAUGACGUACGUCGAGACAGUACAGUUGAAAACAUGGAUUUGGGAUUGAGGGAUGCUUCGGAUGCGCCAUCUACAUUGGACCAAGGUACGCGUACGAUGAAAAAAAUAAGGGGGCGUGAUGAUUUACAGCAAGGCGUUCUGAGUUCAAAAAACGACACGUCACCCAUUGUGCAGGGUAAUGAUGCGAACGAAGAGCUUUAAAAUACAGAGGGUGGGAGGUGUGAACUGUUGGGCAAUGAAAGUUCACAGCUGGUGGUGUCGCCAAGUUCGGGGUUAGAGAUAUUGCCUUGCGUUUUGUGCGCACUGUACGCCCCAAGUCGGGGUCCACCCGCAGGUCUCCCGUCGUUGAUCGCAUCUCCAUCUGUCGGUCCCAUGGUACGCUGGACAAAAAGUUUGAUUGCUGCUAAGGGAGCAGAGCUUGAGAGGACAUGUCGGACAAUACGGGACGCAGUUUCUAUGGGGGCUCGAUCAAGUCAACGACUACUUUAUAUAUUUUUUUUACUCUUUUUUAAUUUUUUAUAAAUACUUUUGAAACAAAGACCGACUUACAAGUACCCAGCCCUGAUGUGGAAAUGUGUGGGCGUAGGGUAAGCAAAUGACGAGCGUGCGGUUAAAAGUGGUUGUUCCAUCAGACACAUGUUGGGUGGAUCAACAGUUGGUUUGGGCAAUGAAAAAAAAGUAGCCGUGGAUGACGUGUAGAGCCCAGGCAAGCUUCAAUUUAAGCAUUGCUCAGGACAUGGUGGGUGACGAAGAACAAGAAGGGAUAAAAUCUGAUGAAACGAUAGUUGAUAUAUGCAAAGACGUAGGUGGUUCUGGGGGACAUGAACAGCCAAGUAGCCCCGCUGGGCCCUCAUCGAGCCAGGCAAGUUUCGGAGACUGGAUACCUGGUGUCAGUGCGGAUCACAAAGAGCCUUCCGAUGGGGAUGCUGAAUUAGACGGUGAAAUGGGUACAGGAUGAAAAGCGGCGUGUAUUGAACCGCACCCCGUAGAAGCGAUUCUGGCAAAACCAGUUUGCAAUUUUCAUGAAAAACCCCACGGAGAAGCCAGGCUAGGGGACAUCAGCUUAGAACCAAAAGAUUUGACACAACGUGAGAAGAAAGUGGGCAUUUGUUUUUCGCAAGAGGGGUAUGGAGGCGUGGAAAAAACAAAGAAUACUAGAACUACAACCCAGCAAAUGUCCCAGCGGCGGAUGCAACACAAGAGUUCCCGUAUGUGAUGUUUGAGGAGCAGUAUGGGAGUCGUGCGAAGGCAGACAAGCUUCAGACGUUUGCAAUUGGUUGCGACGUGUCACCGGCGGUGGUUGAGUUCAUGUCCUGAACAAUGAUCCAACCUAUCGCGAUCCCACUUUACCCCGAUGUUUGUUUUGUCUGCACUGAACAGUGGUAAUGGGUCUUCCAUUUACCUUUACUCACCAUUUGAUUUAAAAAAAAUAGAAUAAGACGCACCUUGGGAUGCUGACGCAAAAUAUGUUCUACACAAGUUGACUAGAUGUUGGCUCUAAAUAACGACCCUUGUGGUAGUCAACUUUGUCCUUUUGAGUCGGGUUUGAAAAGCAGCCUUUGUGGCCGGGAAGAACUACUAGAUUUGAAAGAGAUUGAUAUGUUGUUCUUGCCAUUAGUAGAGGGAAAGCACUUCUAUCUGGUUGUGUUUGAUUUGUACAGAUACGACAUAUACCUCAUAGACCACAUGGCGGACGGGGAGUCUGAUGUGUCUCUCAGAGACCAUGAUGAAUACGUUUGCAAAACGACACCGUUUAGAGUGAAACAUAUACUUGUUGCAUAUUUAGAGCUGGUGAAACACCCAAAAGCAGCCAUUAUGUGUUCAACAGUAAUCAGGCGAGAAUCAUUGGCUUGGACGCUGACCCGUAGGGGUGCAUCGCCGAAUGUUGAUUCUGCCAUUUUCACGAUGAGGUAUAUGGAGCGAUUCCUAGGGACUCGGUGUAAUUUCUUCUGCGGUUUUAGCUCGCACGGAUCACGCAAGAAGGCUCAGUGCAAUUACUUGUGUAAGAAAUAUGCAAGCCAGAUACUACUGUCUGCAGUGAACAAAUAUCAUGGGGGCGUGAGGCAUCGCAUUGAUAGAAAAUAGGUAGAUGCAGGGGGGUGAAUAUUGGGAGAGUUUAACAUGAAGUGGCAUCCCCGUCUCUCUGAAAGCGCAAAAGAAACCUCCAAAAAAGACAGAAACAAACCGAAAAUGGCGGAUGGUUGCAAGGUCUGGCAUCCACAUAACACUACAUCUUCAUCAGGUGGAUCAGAAGACAAAUCUGUCGGGAAACAGGUGAUGUGCGCGAGUGAUCCUAGUCCACCGCAGCAGACUAUGGAAAGGAAAAAAACACAAGUGUGGGAUAAUCGCCAACUAGGGCUACAAUCAAACCCAGACACGGUGUGGGUCCUCGUUCAUCAUGACAUGGGGGAGGUUGGCGUCCAAGUGUUAGAUCGUUGCCAUCUAGGGGCAAUCAAACACAGGCUCGGUUUGGUACCCCUCUCAGCCGACAGGCUCACCUACUGGCCACUUUGGUUCUCCACCCGCCAACUUUGGUUCCCCCAGGUCCCACUUUGUUUCCUCCACAAUGCAGUUUGGUUCAUCUGCACCCCUGUUUGGUUCCUUUCCAAGUCAGUUUGGUUCUCCCCUACUAGCUUUAGAAAAGAUGAUAAAGGAUAUCUAGGUUAAGUUAAGCUCUAAGUGUGAAAUUUGUAGAGAGUGGCACGAGAUGAUAGAUGGCCUUGUAGGUGCUGAAGUGGAUAUGAGUUAUGUCCAGAAUGCAAAUGUAGGUCGGGGCUACGGCUACAACUCUGGAUGGCAGCCACGCUAGAACCCGAACUGGAAGAGUGGGAAUCCUCCUGGAUUUCAACCCCGCCAGAGUUUCUUCCAGAACUCUGGUGACGAGCCGAGUUGUGGAACGAGUAGAGGUGAGGUCAAGCCUAAUAUUGCUAAGUUCUUGAAGAAGAACGAGGAGAACCAGAAUAGGACAAACAAAUUGCUAGAAUCCUUAGUUCUUUAGGGGAGAAUAGGUACCAGGAGCAGCAACGUAAAAAUCAGGAAUUCGAGAUGAUUUUCAGGAAUCAAAAUGCCACUAUCCAGAACUUAGAGAGGACUGUAGGACAGAUGGCCACUAGAUACUCUGAGAGACCCUUAGGCACAUUCCCUAGUACUACUCAAUUGAACCCGAAUGCUACUACUAAGGUAGUCACGACUAGGAGUGGUAGAGGUGCUAGAGUAGAGGAACCAGUGGUUGAUGAAGAGCCGGUAAAUGAGGAAAUUGAAAUGGAGGCUCAUCUUGGAAAAGUGCAAAAUCGGCUCAGCCCAGCAAGUACAGCACAACCAGAGAGCCCUCCUAAGGUUAAGGUAGUUCAGAGAGAGUUUGAUAGAUUACCAUACCCUGCUAGGCUUAAGACGCAAAAGAUGGAGAAAGAGUAUGGUCACUUCCUUGAUUUGUUCAAGCAACUCAAGGUAAAUCUCCCAUUUGUAGAAGCGCUACAACAUAUGCCUAAAUAUGCUAAGUUCUUGAAGGACCUCUUGUAUAACAAGAAGAAAUUGGAGGAGAUUUCGAUUGUGACUUUAGGAGAAGAGUGUUCUGUGGUGGUUCAGAAUAAACUACCUCAGAAAAUGAUAGAUCCGGGUAGUUUCACUAUCCCGUGUUUAUUUGGUAGUUCUUCUGUGAGCCACGUGUUGGCCAACUUGGGUGCUAGCAUCAAUCUAAUACCUUACUUAAUUUAUUCUAAGCUAGACCUUGGAGAGCUUGUUCUGACACGGAUGAGUAUUCAGUUAGUAAAUAGGUCGGUGAAGUAUCCUAGGGGGAUAGUGGAAAAUAUUCUGGUGAAGGUGAAGAAAGCUUGUGCUUGAAGAUUUAGCGUAACAGUUCAUAGGUUGUUCGGUUAGACUUCUCUAUUGAUUCGGUUUUUAGUUAAAGUUGAAUAUUAUAUACACUGUUUUCUGAAUCCGUUUACUUUUAUUUUAUUUGUGUCUCGAUUAUCA